rnacentral:misc_RNA from 1 species
GUGAGUCAUCGAAUCUUUGAACGCACAUUGCGCCCAUUAGUAUUCUAGUGGGCAUGCCUGUUCGAGCGUCAUUAACUCACUUAAGCCCAGCUUAGUGUUGGGAGCCUACGCCCGUAGCUCCUCAAAGCCAGCGGCGGAGUCGUGGUAUCCUCUGAGCUUAGUAAUUACUUCCUAGCUUUCGAGUCGAUCACGUCCCCUGCCGUUAAACACCCUUCUUCUGAAUGGUUGACCUCGGAUCAGGUAGGAAUACCCGCUGAACUUAAGCAUAUCAAUAAGCGGAGGA